rnacentral:rRNA from 1 species
AGAUUGAACGCUGGCGGCAGGCCUAACACAUGCAAGUCGAGCGGCAGCACGGGUACUUGUACCUGGUGGCGAGCGGCGGACGGGUGAGUAAUGCCUAGGAAUCUGCCUGGUAGUGGGGGAUAACGCUCGGAAACGGACGCUAAUACCGCAUACGUCCUACGGGAGAAAGCAGGGGACCUUCGGGCCUUGCGCUAUCAGAUGAGCCUAGGUCGGAUUAGCUAGUUGGUGAGGUAAUGGCUCACCAAGGCGACGAUCCGUAACUGGUCUGAGAGGAUGAUCAGUCACACUGGAACUGACGACACGGUCCAGACCUCCGUACGGGAGCAGCAGGUAGGGAAUAGUGGACAAGUGGGACAAGCUGACUCCAGCCAGUGCCGCGUGUAGUAGAA